AAAUAAAGUAACAAACACACGCGCACACAACCAUCAUUUCGUCAGACUUUUCGUUACUAAUAUAUUUUUACUUGAAAUUACGGAAUAUAGAAAAAUGAACUCUGAGAUUAAUUCGAAGGCUUGCAAUUGUCUUCCGGACGAUGCGGAUCAUCCAGAUGUUCUGGAGGAAUAUUUUCUUAAACUAACAGACUCUAUUUCUCGAACAUUCGGAGCAUUUCAAUUAAUGACGCCAUCAUCGUCAUCUCUAGAAAGAUUAGAGCAACUGGAAGAAAGUACGACUGAUCGAAACGAACAGUGUAUUCUCACACGCGAUUCGUGUAGCUUGUCUCGGAUGCUGGAAUCUGUUGGAGACGUAGAUGAGAUAAUCAAGUGCGCGCGUGACAAUCUCGGCGAAGCCAGCAAGGUUCUGGCAAAGUUAAGACAUCGUAAGCUUCGAAAUAAGCAAAAAAAAAGCGCAAUUAUCAUUGAAUAAUAAUUAGUCUACGUUUUAUAUUUUUUUCGUUGUAUCAUUUUUUAGAAAUUGAAAAAAAUGUAAAACAUUUUUGAUACUUGAAAUACGAGAGUGCCAUGCAAGACAUCGAAAUGUGUCUUUGAUUUUGUUUGUGUACAUAUAUUUGUUUUAACGAUGUCUUGGAAUCUCGCGUUAAUCGGUGAUUUUAUCGCUAUCCAAUGUCGUGUCUAAUUAACACCCGUGAUUUAUCGCUAGUUCGGCGAGAAAGAAACGGAUGCUGGAUUUCACGAAGGAAAUUAGUGUGAAAUUUGGGAACGUUAUUUCGCGAAAAGUGAUUUGUAUCACAACAGUAGACGCAAAUUAUUUAGGCAUCAAGAGUAUAAGUCGGAUUCUUGAUUUGUUCCACAAAUAUAUUUUGCACAAGAAACUUCAACAGCACGCGUAUAUGUUAAAUGCCAAGUUGGCAUAAAAAUUAAUGCGAUUGGCAGCAUUAAUAAAAAUAGAAUGCGAAGUGAUAUUUCUUUUCUUUU